GAUGAACGCUGGCGGCGUGCCUAACACAUGCAAGUCGAACGGAGUCCAGCCUUUAAGACCUUCGGGUCAAAGAGGGGAAGACUGAGUGGCGGACGGGUGAGUAACACGUGGGCAACCUGGCUCAUAGAGGGGGAUAACAGAGAGAAAUUUCUGCUAAUACCGCAUAAGCACACACUGCCGCAUGGCAGAGGGUGAAAAGAGAAUCGCUAUGAGAUGGACCCGCGUCUGAUUAGCCAGUUGGCAGGGUAAGAGCCUACCAAAGCGACGAUCAGUAGCCGAUCUGAGAGGAUGAACGGCCACAUUGGGACUGAGACACGGCCCAAACUCCUACGGGAGGCAGCAGUGGGGGAUAUUGCACAAUGGGGGGAACCCUGAUGCAGCGACGCCGCGUGAGUGAAGAAGUAUUUCGGUAUGUAAAGCCCUAUCAGCAGGGAAGAUAAUGACAGUACCUGAAUAAGAAGCCCCGGCUAACUACGUG
rnacentral:rRNA from 1 species